rnacentral:lncRNA from 1 species
GCUUUUACCAAAAAAAAAAAAGGUGAAAAGCCAAAAUCACACUCAGCUUUUGUUUUGCAGCAAGCCUUCACAGAGGCUUCCAGGCAGUGAGAGUGUUGCCCCCAAAUUUCUCCCUGGGAAUGGCACUCAGUGCCUCUGUAUCAAGCCGCAUUGCUCUGAACUUGAGUCUAGAACAUUAGGUGUGACUCUGACGCUCUUUGAGUGUCAAAGCUGCUCUGGGACUGUUCAGAAGCUUUCUCCAAUAGAUUCUGGGCUCCCGGGUGGCAGAGUCUGGGUCUUAUUCAUCUUUGUAUCCUGGCCUCCCAGAAUAGUGCUUGGCAUAUGACUGUGAGGGAAGUGAAUGGGCAGCAAAGUGCCAAAGGCAAGCGGCCAGAGAAGAGCAGCAACCUGGACAUCCAACCUCUGGAAAAGUGAAAAUCUACUGAGGCCCACUCACAUUUCAGAGAUUAUAACCUGUCUGGUUUGUAUAACCUCUGAGCCUUGAGCCUCAAAUACCAGGUGUCAAACAGGAGAUGGGUAUUUUUGUGGCAAUGUGGAUGUAUUUGGUGGGGGCGUGGGGGGGAUAUUUAUAUGGAACCAUGAAGUAAGUGACUUGAAGGAGAAUGUGGAGAAAAUUUGUCUUGGGCAAGAGGCUAAGCCACUAAAGUAUCUUCAGGGUGCUGUGUAUAACAUGGAAAAAAUUAGACUUUCUUCUGUUGCAUCCAACUGACUACAUGGUCACUUUGAGAACA